rnacentral:rRNA from 1 species
AUUGAACGCUGGCGGCAUGCCUUACACAUGCAAGUCGAACGGCAGCGCGGGAGCAAUCCUGGCGGCGAGUGGCGAACGGGUGAGUAAUACAUCGGAACGUGCCCAAUCGUGGGGGAUAACGCAGCGAAAGCUGUGCUAAUACCGCAUACGAUCUACGGAUGAAAGCAGGGGAUCGCAAGACCUUGCGCGAAUGGAGCGGCCGAUGGCAGAUUAGGUAGUUGGUGAGGUAAAGGCUCACCAAGCCUUCGAUCUGUAGCUGGUCUGAGAGGACGACCAGUCACACUGGGACUGAGACACGGCCCAGACUCCUACGGGAGGCAGCAGUGGGGAAUUUUGGACAAUGGGCGAAAGCCUGAUCCAGCCAUGCCGCGUGCAGGAUGAAGGCCUUCGGGUUGUAAACUGCUUUUGUACGGAACGAAACGGUCUUUUCUAAUAAAGAAGGCUAAUGACGGUACCGUAAGAAUAAGCACCGGCUAACUACGUG